GCCCGCCUAGCUCAAUCGGAUAGAGCGUCAGACUCUUAUCAUAUCGACAGGCAGGGUCGAGUUCGACCCUCGCGGUGGGCU